ACAGCGAGCCUCGCGUCGUUAUAUAGCGUUAGCGUAAUAACCUCAAAUAUUUCAAACGUUGAGGAAACUUCAUUAAAUAAAACAUUUAUUAGUUUCUUUACAUUAUUUUCAUUGCAUAAAUAUUUACAACUAUAUAUUGUGAAAGGAUAAAAGUAAGUUAAGAAGUCUCCAUACUAGUAGUAGGCCUACAUGCCUAGGACAGAGUGAAGGAUGUUUACAAAUUCAAGAAACUUUGUCUCUGCUCAGGAUGGUCCUCUUUCCUUGAAUUAUAUCCGCAACUUGAACAUAGUGCUUGUGGGAAUUAUACUUCUGAUACAGCCUUCCUGAAGAUAUUGGGUAACAGUGACUUCAUGUAAAUAUUAGUUUCAUAGUAGGUAACAAAAUUGAUUGACUGAAGUGUUAAGCUUUCAUUACUGUAAAUUGGAUGAAUCGGAUUUUCAAGUAUGGAUACAUUGACAAGCCCAGACGAGUGGUCUAUUUGGAAAAUGAUUGACUUGAGUCACGAGGAGAUCAUGGAGACUCUAGCUCAGCCUGUUCAACAACCUGAAGUGGACCACAUCUAUCAUCUGACUUGUCUGAACAUCGUUGAACCUUUUCCACAUGUUCAAUCCUGUUUUAGCACACAUGAGCUUGGCAUAAUAGCAGACUACUUGCACACCACGUAUGGCCUGCUUCAUAAUGACAAAUCGACUCAAUUAUCUCCACCUAACCAAUUGAAUCCCAUCUCUUUGACAGCAUUAACUGAAGAAUCAGAAAUAUUGCACGAGGAAUUUUAUUUGAAUCCCAGUGAAAAUUCAAGCAGUAUGGAAAUUGAUGAAUCUAAAAUGAUGUUGUUGGAUAGUGCCAAUGAAUACAUAUUAGAUACUACUCGAUCCACAUGUUGGCCUAUUAUGGACUCCAGUUUUAUUUAUUUCGGUCAAGCUCUCAGGGACUCAAAGUUAACCCAUCUUUCUCUCAGUAAUACUAAAGUUACAAGCAAUUUACUUAUCGAAUUCCUCAAAUACUUGCCAGAAUCUCAAAUUGUUUCUCUUGAUUUACCAGAAAUAGUUGGAAGAAUACCUGUUCACUUUGAUGGUGUUGAUUAUGAUGAUGAUGAUGAUGUAAAUGAUGAUGAUGUAAUGAUGAUGAUGAUGAUGAUCAUCAUCAUCAUCAUCAUCAUGAUCUUGAUGAUUAUCAAGAUAAUGAUGAUCUUGAUGAUCAUGAUCAUAAUGACAAAGGAUGCCUUGAUAAACUGUAUAAUUUAUGCUGCUGCUUUAACCGGAAUACAAGUCAUACAUCAUCAGAAAUUGGUCGUAAUAAUAAUAAUAGACAAAAUGAUGAAAAAGUUGAAAUAAAUUGGUCACAGCAUCUUGCCACAAUACUUAAAGACACUGAAAUCAAUUCUCUUAAUUUUAAUGGCAAUGCCAUCAAUUUGGAAAUGCUCACUUGUUCACUGGUCGGUACAAAACUAUCCUCUCUUAGUUUUAGAGGGUGUAAGGUAGAAGAUAAUGGUUUAAACCGAUUGGCAAGUAUUUUGAAAGAUACACUACUCACGUCCAUAGAUCUUAGCAAUAAUUCAUUGGACUGUGUGAGAUUAAAGAUGAUUGUAAACGGUUUGGAGGGGACAAGUAUUGCAACUCUGAACCUAAGCUCAAAUAGAAUAGGUGUUGAUGGACUGAAUUGCUUGGGUGGUGUAUUGAAAAGCACUGCAAUCACAAAAAUUGAUCUCAGUAGAAAUAGGUUGAAUUGUGAAUGCUUGAAAGUAUUUGCACCUUAUCUUGUGGGUACAAAUAUUACCUCCCUCAAUUUGGCGGCCAACCAGAUAGGCAUUGAUGGUCUGAAAUGCCUAGCACAUGUUCUGAAGGACACAAAAAUAGAAUCAAUUGAUUUGGGAUCAAAUAGUCUGAGCUCUGAAAGUUUUAAAAUAUUAUCAAACUGUUUGUUGGAUACUAGAAUCACAUCACUUUGUUUAAGAGGGAAUGUUCUUGACACUGACAGUCUGAAUUGUAUGACACAUUCUUUGAAAGAAUCAAAAAUCUCUUCAAUUGACUUGAGUGAAAGUAACUUACAAUGCGAUAGUUUGAAGUUGUUGUCCUCGGCGUUGGUGAGUUCAAAAAUUGAUUCACUCAAUUUGAGCCAUAAUAGAAUAGGUGUUGAUGGUAUUAAUUCUCUGGUUGAAAUAUUGAAGGACACUGAAAUCACCACCCUAGAUUUAAGUUAUAAUAGAUUGAGGGAUAUUAAUGUAUGUUCGAGAAUAUUUGCAUGCUUGAAUGAGACUAAGAUAGACUCUCUUAAUGUGUUGUCAAAUCUAAUAGAUUACGGCUUUUUAACAAAUAUUUUGAAGGGUAGUAAAGUUACUUCAAUUGAUCUUGGUUACCCCCCACAUGAUCAAGACUUUGAAAUGUUUUUAUCAUGUUUAGACAAUUCAAUAAUCACUCGCAUGAAUUUAAGUAACAAUUAUCUUGGGCUUGCUUUCAAAAAACUAGUUUCUGUUCUCAAAUACACUUUAAUCACCUCACUGAACCUUGGAAAAUGUUAUUUAUCAUGCAAUGACUUGACAGAUCUGUUUUUGUGCCUACCUGAUACGAAAAUCACAUCGCUCAAUCUCAAUGGAAACAGGUUUUGUGGUAAUAUAAUUUAUUUGGCAUCGGUUUUGAAAUGUGCUAAAAUCACUUCUCUCGACUUGAGCAAUUGUCGAAUUUUAGAAAAUAAUCAUAUUAGUUUGGUUGAUGAGAGAUCGACUCCGGUGACACAUCACUUGAUCUGAGUGAUUGCUGUUGCUUCUUCAGUUUAUGCUACUUGUCACGCCAGCUAUGCCAAACAAAAACCACACACCUUAUACUAUCUGGCAAUGAUAUGGUUUACAAUUCUAUGAAAUAUCUUUCUAAGGGACUUUUGAGCUCACAUAUUGUUGCUCUUGAUCUGAGUAGAGCCAGAGUGGAUUGUUGUGGUGUUCGCGACUUAGCUAAAGUGCUUAGAUACACUCGGAUCUCAUCGUUAAACCUAUCUUCCAAUAAAAUCGCCUGCAAGGGUAUCGGCUAUUUGACAGAUGGUCUUGUGGGGUGUCGAAUUUCAUCAUUGAAUCUAUCUAAGAAUAGAAUCGCUUGUCAAGGUUUCAAGUAUUUGAUAAAGGGCUGUCGAAUUGAAUCGCUCAAUUUGCGUGAAAAUCUUAUUAAAGAUGAGGGUGCCCAACAUUUCGCUGAAAAUCUUGCAAAUACUGACAUUUCUGAAAUUGAUUUGUGUGGAAAUAUGAUUGGAAGCGAAGCAGCAUAUCAGUUGUUCAACAGUGCAAAGCAAAAAAGCAUGAAUCACAUUAAAAAGGAUGUGACUAAAGUUCACCUUGAUGUUAAGAGCAAUGAUCUAAUUAGUCAUAUGAGUUCGUAUAAAUAUCCAGAUUGCCUUGUUCAAAUCAGUGAGCCAUGCUGCAGAGAAGAUGUCAAUUUUCUAAUUAACAAUACCUAUAAAAAUCUGGGUAUAACCAAAUUGGUCUUAGAGGGCAAACAUUUCUCACAUAUGUUGGGAGCAUUUGACAACAUCAGUAUCACAGAAUAUGAUCAUUCCUUCCGUGAACCUAUUCCAAGGAAUUACUCCAAGGAUCAUAACAUAUCUCAAAUACUUCUAAAUAGCAAUAUUGCAGUACUGAAUGUGAAUGCUAGUGAUUGUAGAAAACUGUUGAAUGAAGGAAAUCUCAUUUUAAAGUUGAAAGUUAUUGCUAUAAAAAUGAAAAUUGUAGUUUUCGAGCAACUAGUUGGCUACUGUGCACGCGGUGUCAAAUCAACACUGAUCAACAGCAAUGUGGUUUACUUGGAUUUGAGUAAUAACAAGUUAAUAGGUGAUGAUUUUGGGCUAUUGGUUGAAGUUUUGAAGGGUUCCAAAAUAAUCUCUCUAAACCUGAGCAAUAAUCUUUUGAAUGAAAGAAGUGCUGAACUUUUAGCUGAGGUCCUUCCUCUAACCAAAAUCAUCUACAUAGAUUUGUAUGGGAAUAGAAUCGGAUAUUUAGGUUAUAUAUACCUUGUAAAAGCUGCUCCCAAGUCGAGAGUUUGUUGGCUUUCACUGGGCAACAAUAAUAUUGAAGAGCGUUUGCGAGAAAACAUAGAUUUAUCACCUUACAUUGUGCCACGAGACGAUACACCAAUCGAAUUUCAAAUACGCUAUUUGUUUAGAGAGUUAGUCUCACUUGACUCAACUAGUGAACAAUUCGAAUUCGUUGUUCCCCGGGAUGACUCUGUCAUGAGCAUCAAUGACUAUCCACUUUUAUUAAAGUAUCUCCCAAACUACAAAAUCCACAUUUAUGAUUAUUUCUACAUGAAGAGCAUGAGGAGACAUGACAUUCACAUGCUAAAUAAAGUUAACGCUUUUGUCAAAGAUAUGAAACACAAAUUUAAUUCGUUUAUUGAAAGCGAGAUGGUGAAACUGGGAGAGAAAUUUGGCUACGAUAGCUUUGUGAUUCUUGUAAAAUUAUGUGAUUGUUUGGAUUUGUCUGAUUUUGUUGAAUUGCUUCUGCUGCAUAGAGUAUUGUAUUAUGUAGAUGAUGAACUGAAUUUCCUGCAUCCAUUUAUCUAUAAAAUGUUGCAUAAACAUCAGUUACCACUGUAUGCCAGCUUUGAACCAAAUAAGAAGCAGCAGAUAAUAUCUUACUUUGAGAAGCACUCAGAUAUUGAUUGUGCCCGUGAGAUUAUUAAUUUACUUGAUAGGUUAUGAAUUUCUUUCUAUUUUUAUUGUAUCGCUCAAUUGAUGAAUUACAUUACAUUUUAAUUAUCAACUUUUUUAAAAAUUUCAGAAGUAAUGGGCCACAUUAUUGAGUAUGACUAUUACCAUACUUCAGCUUCAAAUAAGUUGAAAGUGAUCGUAACCUAUAAGCAAAAACCACAUUACAUUGUAAAUCACUCUGAGAAUUCUCUUUUAUAACAUUCAAAAUGAAGUUUAGUAUUUUAGUUUUGAGGCCUGUUUCAUGAAGUUUCACAUACAAGGCGUUUAAAUUCUUACGAAUCUGACAAUUUUCUAUCGAAUGACAAUAAUAAUGAGAUGAGGUCUUCAAACCUAGUUAUUUCAACUGGUCACUGCUUGAACGGUUUUAAGUUAUUCCAAUAGAUGUCAAUUGACAUUUUGUUGAAAAGACAAAUUCUCGUUGAGAUUGCACAUUCCGAAAUAAUAUAAUCUGCAUAAUAUUUUUAUAACAGACUAUUAUUGAUAUUAUCAUAUUUUUAAUACAAUAUUAUAUUAUAGAAGUGAUUUAUUUUCAGUGCUACUUAAUAUUUUUAUAUCCAAUUAUUUUAUUAUACAGAGUGUUCACAAAUGAAUAUCACAGUUUCAGAAUUGAAUUGAACUUGAAGUUUAAAAUCAUGAGUCAAGUGAAAAGGCGAGAAAUCUAGCAGUUUUAUCGAGCCUAGUCCGUAUGAAUACCAGUAGCCACAACCCACAUCAAGUUUACAGUCGAGGUUUUUCCAAACAUUGAUAAGUGUGUCUUCAGUAAUAUUCGAUCCAGCUUGAGUAAUUCAGCAUGGUCAGUUGGUAGUGGAGACAUGUAUACCUACACACUAUCCUUGAUGAAGCCACACAGGUAUAAAUAGUAUGACGUUAGGUCAGGAGAACAUGGAGGCCAACAUAGUAAGCCCUUUAGUCCAUUUAAGGUGGGGAUAAAGCCGCCGCGGUGUUGCUGCAUUGACACCGUCAACCACGAGUAAUGUAAUAAGUGCUCCAUACAAGCCCACGUAAAACGGCUUCUUGACUGGGAAAUUGAAGGCGGUCAGUAGGCCUACUUCCCAUUACCUUACAUCACUUGAAAUAUUAUCAAAUUUCUUCCAGUUAUUUUAGUCAGUAUUCUAAAAAGUAGGCUAUAUAGAGAGUUUCUCAAAGUAAAAGCUCAUAAAAUGUAACAUAGUAUUUACAGAAACACUGAAGUUAACAAUAUGAAACUAUAUAAUCGUCACUCAUUUUGACCUAAAUGUCUAUUCAUAGCUGAAAAAUACGUCUAUGAGACGUAGGUCUGAUGUAAGUAUUUCCCUUCAAUCACUGAGUAAUAAACAACGAGAAGUCUAAUUAAGUAGGAGCUUACACUGUUUUCAGAAAUGUUGUGGAACUUCUCCCUGAUGAGGUGAAAAAGUAUAAUUAUUAAUUUUUCACCUCAUUAAGUAGGAGCUACUGAAGUAGUAGUAAUUAAGUGAUAGGCUACUGUGCCUGUGAGAGUUAUCAGCCAGUACCAUGUGGCUACUGUGCGUGUUGCCAUGACUACCGCGAGUUUUUAUUUUUGUUCCAAUUGGCAGAGCUAGAUUUCUAUCUCCCUCCAACGUUAGUUUACCCCUCCUGUCAAAAUCGGAAGUUAUUUUGUCCAGACUAUAACAGUGGCUUAUAGACGGAGACGGCGGCCAGUGACCUCCAUUACGUCACUUUACAUCAAUUUGAAUUUGCAAAACAUCAGUCGUAUGAAUAAAAAUUUACACAAAGAAAAGUUUCAGUCACCAGUAACUUAAGAGUUGCUUUUCUACUUGAAAUUUUUUAAAACUUCAGUUUAAUGUAAAAAACUUUAUAAUUAGUUAAACUGUGAUAUUCAUUUUUUAUACACCCUAAACUCAGUUUAACUUGACUUAACUGUUAUACCUUGAUAUUUUUCUUCAAAUUGUUCUCUAUACUAUGUCUAUUAUUAUUUUAAUCUUAUUCCACUUACUCAUUAUUUUUUUUCUAUACUGAGCGCAUAUAUACUUAUAUUUUUUUGUGAAUUGCAUGUUAGCCUACUGUAUUGCUGGAUUGUAAAUAGAAGUAAAGACUUGAAAUUAAAAAAUAAACCUUAAUGCUACCAAUUCAUGUACAAAAUAUGUAAGUGGUUUACUAUAACAUUGUGAAAUAUGAAAUGAUGAAAUUAUAAUAAAUUUAGCUGUUAUUAGGUUAAAAUUUAGCAUAGGCAUUCAAUGAGCUGGAAAUCAAUCAAUUUUUACAAGCGCCAAACCGGUUGACCAGAAAAUGAAAUGAAAGCUUUUAACCAAAGCGUCUCUUGAGGCCAAUGCUCAAGCCACUUCUAUAUCUUAUAAUAAAGUUAACUUCAAGCUGU
rnacentral:misc_RNA from 1 species